rnacentral:tmRNA from 2 species
GGGGAUGAGCGGAUUCGACAGGAUGAUAGGUACUUUAAUAAAUGGCAAGGGCGCACCUAUGCGUCAAAUAGAAAAAAAAUACUUGAGAACGACAUAAACGCUCUCGCUGAUCGUGUUUUGGCAUUAAUCGUAAGACGAAAUGCUGGAUACAAUCGGUUUGCUUACACAGUUGCUUAACCAACAGCAACGCACAAGCACUCAUUUUAGGUUUUUUACUUUUUGAUUCAACCUAAAUUCUGAGGUAACCAAUUAAAAAGAUCACAAUGAUCGUGCGAGUGGAUUAUUGUUGAAACCCUUACUCGCCCACCUAUAAACGUUUGAUUAUUUUUGUUUAUAGCUUGGUGGUAAAAAUAAUCUACCCCUUGCUAGAACGUUUUUUAAAGACCAUUCUGGACCCGGGUUCGACUCCCGGCAUCUCCACAA